rnacentral:rRNA from 1 species
AGAGUUUGAUCCUGGCUCAGGAUGAACGCUGGCGGCGUGCUUAACACAUGCAAGUCGAACGAUGAACCUCACUUGUGGGGGGAUUAGUGGCGAACGGGUGAGUAACACGUGAGUAACCUGCCCUUAACUCUGGGAUAAGCCUGGGAAACUGGGUCUAAUACCGGAUAUGACUCCUCAUCGCAUGGUGGGGGGUGGAAAGCUUUAUUGUGGUUUUGGAUGGACUCGCGGCCUAUCAGCUUGUUGGUGGGGUAAUGGCCUACCAAGGCGUCGACGGGUAGCCGGCCUGAGAGGGCGACCGGCCACACUGGGACUGAGACACGGCCCAGACUCCUACGGGAGGCAGCAGUGGGGAAUAUUGCGCAAUGGGCGAAAGCCUGACGCAGCAACGCCGCGUGAGGGAUGACGGCCUUCGGGUUGUAAACCUCUUUCAGCAGGGACGAAGCGAGAGUGACGGUACCUGCAGAAGAAGGACCGGCCAACUACGUGCCAGCAGCCGCGGUAAUACGUAGGGUCCGAGCGUUGUCCGGAAUUAUUGGGCGUAAAGGGCUCGUAGGCGGUUCGUCACGUCGGGAGUGAAAACUCGGAGCUUAACUCCGAGCCUGCUUCCGAUACGGGCAGACUAGAGGUAGGCAGGGGAGAGCGGAACUCCUGGUGUAGCGGUGGAAUGCGCAGAUAUCAGGAAGAACACCGGUGGCGAAGGCGGCUCUCUGGGCCUUACCUGACGCUGAGGAGCGAAAGCGUGGGUAGCGAACAGGAUUAGAUACCCCCGUAGUCC